ACUGGCGGCGUGCCUACCAUGCAAGUCGAACGGAGAUAUGAUUUCGGUUAUAUCUUAGUGGCGAACGGGUGAGUAACGCGUGAGCAACCUGACUCUUAGAGGGGGAUAACACCCGGAAACGAGUGCUAAUACCGCAUAAGACCACGACAUGGCAUCAUGACGAGGUCAAAGGAGCAAUCCGCUGAGAGAGGGGCUCGCGUCCCAUUAGAUAGAUGGCGGGGUAACGGCCCACCAUGUCAGCGAUGGGUAGCCGAGCUGAGAGGCUGAUCGGCCACACUGGAACUGAGACACGGUCCAGACUCCUACGGGAGGCAGCAGUGGGGAAUAUUGGGCAAUGGGCGCAAGCCUGACCCAGCAACGCCGCGUGAGGGAAGAAGGCUUUCGGGUUGUAAACCUCUGUCCUUGGUGACGAAACAAAUGACGGUAGCCAAGGAGGAAGCCCCGGCUAACUACGUGCCAGCAGCCGCGGUAAUACGUAGGGGGCGAGCGUUGUCCGGAAUUACUGGGCGUAAAGGGUGCGUAGGUGGCCUUUUAAGUUGGAUGUGAAAUACCCGGGCUUAACUUGGGGGGUGCAUCCAAAACUGGAAGGCUAGAGUGCAGGAGAGGAAAGCGGAAUUCCUAGUGUAGCGGUGAAAUGCGUAGAUAUUAGGAGGAACACCAGUGGCGAAGGCGGCUUUCUGGACUGUAACUGACACUGAGGCACGAAAGCGUGGGGAGCAAACAGGAUUAGAUACCCUGGUAGUCCACGCGGUAAACGAUGAAUACUAGGUGUAGGGGGUAUCAACUCCCCUGUGCCGGAGCAAACGCAAUAAGUAUUCCGCCUGGGGAGUACGGCCGCAAGGUG
rnacentral:rRNA from 1 species